rnacentral:rRNA from 1 species
CCUACGGGAUGCAGCAGUGAGGAAUAUUGGUCAAUGGACGAGAGUCUGAACCAGCCAAGUAGCGUGAAGGAUGACUGCCCUAUGGGUUGUAAACUUCUUUUAUAUGGGAAUAAAACGUUCCACGUGUGGGAUUUUGUAUGUACCAUAUGAAUAAGGAUCGGCUAACUCCGUGCCAGCAGCCGCGGUAAUACGGAGGAUCCGAGCGUUAUCCGGAUUUAUUGGGUUUAAAGGGAGCGUAGGUGGAUUGUUAAGUCAGUUGUGAAAGUUUGCGGCGCAACCGUAAAAUUGCAGUUGAAACUGGCAGUCUUGAGUACAGUAGAGGUGGGCGGAAUUCGUGGUGUAGCGGUGAAAUGCUUAGAUAUCACGAAGAACUCCGAUUGCGAAGGCAGUUCACUGGACUGCAACUGACACUGAGGCUCGAAAGUGUGGGUAUCAAACAGGAUUAGAUACCCUUGUAGUC